AUCAACCUAUUUCAAGUGUUAUAAUGGAAAUUAAAUUCAUAAUGAUAAAAAUAUAUAUAAAUAAACUACAAAAUCUAAUGUUUAACAUUCUCCGUAAUCCGAAAAUCGGAACACUCAGGUGGUCGCCUAUUAGUGAUAUCACUGGAUCCAACGUCAAGAGAAAUCUCAUGAAGACGGCCUCCAAGUUUACCUCCCUGUUGAAUUCCCUGGCAUGUAGCUCUCUAAACUUGCGGAUGCUUUUGUUACGCGAGUCACCAGCUUCUUCGGAAAACAUUCCGAUUGGAAGUAGCACAUGUUUGAUUACUGCUGCACCGUGCACGAGUUGGGCGAUAGGGAAAUAUGACGUACCAUUCAUGUAGAUUACUGUUUAGUACACCACAGUCCUUUACAUACACUUGAUAAGCAGGCACAUCGAUUUCCGCCUUACUAUUUAUCAAUGUAAAAAUUACAUAACAUCUUCGAUAUCUUCAAUAUGCUCUCAUCCAACCCCGUGAUUUCGGCAACAGCUUCACUGUUCUCGAGUACCGAUGCCGGAAUUCGAGUUUCCUCAUCCUGGGCUACUCCUUCAAAUCUCUACAAAUGGUUUCUUCCCGUUUUUUAACUAUUUUAUUUGUAUUGGACAUUUUCCAAACUGGCUCCUCCAUUGUUGUAUGGGAGGAAACCUUAAGAAACCUGUCCAUCGAUCGAAUAGUUGCGUGGAAUGGUGAAAUUCCAUAUUUGUACCUUUUUGGUCGUCUGUCUCUGCUACUAUUAGCGUUGAGUUGAGCUUCUUACCAUAUCUUAUCCAGAAAUAACAUUUAUCCACGUAUUUUUCCACUGAAAUCAUUCCGGCAAAUACAUCCGAUUGUUUCUUUUGGGGUAAAAGCUGUUCUAUGUGAGCUUCUAGUAGAAGGUUCCUCUUCCUUACUAGGCGUUUUCGCCAUAUUUUCUAUAAACUUAGCCGAAUGACGGCAUCAACUAGCAAAAUCCAGCUCUUCGGCAGAGUUUUUUUUCUGUGAUCUCCCGAACACUCAGAAACAAUUUUUCCUCGUUUUUUAGCGGUAUUAGAAAACAAAAUUUCUGGGAAAAAUCAUCGCUUCUUCGACCCACUUGGCAUUUCGCCGUUCGAAACUAGAGCGCGUGGGAGCACUUUUCGACUACCGUGUUAAGAAAAUUGAACUUCCUAAGCUUCAGGCACUUUCUGAUAUUCAAUACACAUAUAUCCUCACAAUUUUCCGGUAAAAACUGCAUAAAAUCUUCUAUAUUUCGUCCAGAGUUAUAGUAAAGGUAAACAAAGACGCGGAUUGCGUUAAAGCGUCCCAAUAAUCAUUAUGGCUGUCGUCUUCUUCUUAAAUGGCACUAACGUUCCUAGAGGAACUCCGCCGUCUCAACGUAAUAUUACUUACGUCAGUUUUACUAGUAGAUAGUUGAGAUUUCUGUGCCACAUCUUUCUGAUCUAUUAAGAAAUGUUCGAGUUAUGAGCAUUCGAAAUCUUUCAUAUUGACGUGGAACUACGUCUAACCAAAGUAUAUGGGGGUUAGGGGGUUAGUAUAUGGGGGUUUUAAAAAAAUUACCCGUGCAAAAUUUUAGCUCAAUCGGACAUGAUUGUGGGCCUCAAAGCGCUCAAAGUUUAGAUUUUUUUGAUCCUCGAAAAUUUUCCAAGGGGGCAGUAAAGGAAAUUUGGAAAAUUCAAUUUUUUUUCGAUGCCAAAUGACUUGAAAAUGCAUGAAAAUGCAAAAAACCUUUUGAGACUUAGCCGGAGAAGCAAUGAAGGUACAUUUUGUUUAUUGGUCCAAUAAAUGACCUGUGUAAAGUUUCAGCUCAAUCGGACGUGAUUUAGGGGUGCUUCAAAGCACUCAAAGUUUUGAUUUUUGGCCACUUUUGGCUAAAUCCCAAAAAGUCGAUUUUCAGCCAAACUUUUUUUUCGAGAUAUCACCAGAUCUCGUUUUAUGCAUUUUUAAGUCAUUUGACAUUGAAAAAAAAAAUCGAUUUUCUAAAUUUCCUUUACCUCCCCCCUUGGAAGAUUUUCGAGCAUCAAAUAAAAAAAAAAUUUCGACGAAAUCUUGACAAAUUUUAACCAUAUAUAUUUGACCAAUACAAUUACCCAUAGCAAAAAUUGUCAAGCAAAAAAAAAGUUAACUUGUUCUUAAUGACGCUGCGAACAAUCGCGCUAAAAAUUGACAUUAAGAUCACUUACAGUAAUACCAACUUUAAAAAAAUUAAAAAUGUUAAGCGGUGUGAUUCAAAAUUACAAUUUCACUGUAUAUAUUUGAUAGGUAAUGUAUUUGAUAAUACAGAACUGAAAAAAGGUUCAAAAUAAAAGGAAGCAUUGCUAAAUUUUCAUUCUGAAAUGAAUUUUUUAUACUUUCGUUACUAAUUGCUUAGUAGAUCAAACGCGACCGCUUUAUCUACGAUCCAUUUUCAAACAAUUCCGAAUGUUGAUCCUUUUGUAAACAUAUCUGAUAUGUGUGAGCGGCAGUUCUCUAGUUUCAAAAUGUUUCACACAUUAUUCGAAACUAGUUUUAUAUUUAGUUCGACACGGUAAUUUCAGCGGUUGAGCUUCAUUGACUAUAAAUGCCGAUAGAGCGUACGGAAACUGCAUCACAUUCGUAAAUUGUUGCAUUCAGAACAGCACUCUCGCGUGAAACAUGAAGCUGUUGCUACUACUGUUCGGUCUGUUUCUGAUCUUUACACAAACAUUGGCUAUGUCGUCCGAGAACAUGGUUCCGAAUGAUGAGGAAGGAAUGGAAGGAGUCUCGAAACGAUCACCAUACGAGGGGGGACGUAACAAGACUAAAGAUAAAGAUAUGAAUUGGGGAGGUUCGUAUCCUGGCCACUUCGAUAACGGAAAAUGAGGUCCAUCAUUUGAGGGUUUACCUGCAAACUAGUUACAUUCGCUGUUAUUGAACAUGAAAAUCUAUGGGACAAGUUUCGACAAAUAAAUAAAUAUCAACCGAGUGA